GACGAACGCUGGCGGCGUGCUUAACACAUGCAAGUCGAACGGAAAGGCCCUGCUUGCAGGGUACUCGAGUGUCGAACGCGUGAGUAACACGAGGGUGUACUGCCCUUCACUUCGGGAUAAGCCUGGGAAACUGGGUCUAAUACCGGAAAGGAGCCAUUUUUAGUGUGAUGGUUGGAAAGGUUUUUCGGUGUAGGAUGAGCUCGCGGCCUAUCAGCUUGUUGGUGGGGUAAUGGCCUACCAAGGCGGCGGCGGGUAGCCGGCCUGAGAGGGUGGACGGCCACAAUGGGACAGAGGUACGGCCCAGUCUCCUACCGGAGGCAACAGUGGGGAAUCUGGCACAAUGGGGGCAAGCCUGAUGCAGCGACGCCGCGUGGGGGAUGACGGCCUUCGGGUUGUAAACUCCUUUCGCGAGGGAAGAAGCUUUUUGUGACGGUACCUAGAUAAGAAGCACCGGCUAACUACGUG
rnacentral:rRNA from 1 species